GGCCCGGUAGUUCAGAUGGUUAGAAUGCCAGCCUGUCACGCUGGAGGUCGAGGGUUCGAGUCCCUUCCGGGUCG
rnacentral:tRNA from 1 species